GACACCGAUGUUCGAUGGCCGGGCGGCUGCCUGCAAAGCAGUUCUCAGUGGGUUCGAUUCCCACCGGUGUCU
rnacentral:tRNA from 1 species